rnacentral:rRNA from 1 species
AAGUCGAGCGAACGGACGAGAAGCUUGCUUCUCUGAUGUUAGCGGCGGACGGGUGAGUAACACGUGGAUAACCUACCUAUAAGACUGGGAUAACUUCGGGAAACCGGAGCUAAUACCGGAUAAUAUUUUGAACCGCAUGGUUCAAAAGUGAAAGACGGUCUUGCUGUCACUUAUAGAUGGAUCCGCGCUGCAUUAGCUAGUUGGUAAGGUAACGGCUUACCAAGGCAACGAUGCAUAGCCGACCUGAGAGGGUGAUCGGCCACACUGGAACUGAGACACGGUCCAGACUCCUACGGGAGGCAGCAGUAGGGAAUCUUCCGCAAUGGGCGAAAGCCUGACGGAGCAACGCCGCGUGAGUGAUGAAGGUCUUCGGAUCGUAAAACUCUGUUAUUAGGGAAGAACAUAUGUGUAAGUAACUGUGCACAUCUUGGACGGUACCUAAUCAGAAAGCCACGGCUAACUACGUGCCAGCAGCCGCGGUAAUACGUAGGUGGCAAGCGUUAUCCGGAAUUAUUGGGCGUAAAGCGCGCGUAGGCGGUUUUUUAAGUCUGAUGUGAAAGCCCACGGCUCAACCGUGGAGGGUCAUUGGAAACUGGAAAACUUGAGUGCAGAAGAGGAAAGUGGAAUUCCAUGUGUAGCGGUGAAAUGCGCAGAGAUAUGGAGGAACACCAGUGGCGAAGGCGACUUUCUGGUCUGUAACUGACGCUGAUG